UCCCCUGUAGCUCAGCUGGUAGAGCAGAUGACUGUUAAUCAUCUUGUCAGAGGUUCGAGCCCUCUCGGGGGAGCCA
rnacentral:tRNA from 1 species